rnacentral:rRNA from 1 species
UACGGGGGGGGUAAGCGUUGUUCGGAAUUACUGGGCGUAAAGGGCUCGUAGGCGGCCAACUAAGUCAGACGUGAAAUCCCUCGGCUUAACCGGGGAACUGCGUCUGAUACUGGAUGGCUUGAGGUUGGGAGAGGGAUGCGGAAUUCCAGGUGUAGCGGUGAAAUGCGUAGAUAUCUGGAGGAACACCGGUGGCGAAGGCGGGUCUCUGGGCCGAUACUGACGCUGAGGAGCGAAAGCGUGGGGAGCGAACAGG